UAAUGAGAGGGCUGAAUUGAAGUAUUUUUUUCCCCUCUUAAAAUAUGUGUCUUGUUUUUUUUUUCAAAAUUCAGAAGCAAUGUAAGGACAUAGGCCGAUGGUGUUUGCUGAAUAUGACUGAAUAUUAAAAGCAUGUGACCGCUGUAGGAGGUCAGCCUUUCCUUUCUAGUAUUUUUUUACUUCAGCACUGAUUUGCAGUACUCUGUUGUCAGUGCCUGUUGGGUUGGGCUCCUCAGGCAGGCCCCUCCCAGCCAGCCUAGCUUAUCAUUUGUUCUCAGUGGCAUUUUAGGGUAGGAAACUGGCACUUAAAGAAUUAGGAAAGAAAUUUUAAUGUCAGUUGCUUGUGUCUAAUGAGGGAGCUAAAAAUGAGAAGUUAACAUUGACCUCCAUUUAAAAAUUUGAUUCUUAGUCUGAAUUGUAAUAGUUUGUUUUUUUUUUUUUAAUCAAAACAAAGUUACCUCUUUCCAUCUGUUGGAACAAAAAGCAUUGACAUUGGGCUGGGGAUAUAGCUCAGCGGCACAAGCACCUGCCUGGCAAGUACAAGGUCCUGAGUUCGAUUCCUGGUACCAAAACAAAAAUAAGCAUUGAUAUUAAGGAUUAAGAAACAUGUAAUGUAACUGAAUAAAAGGCAAUCUCCCAAGCAAAAUGCAUCUAUUUUAGAAGACGAGCUCUACUUUUUAGUUAUGGAAUAGAUACACUGUUAAAUGCUGGUAAUUGAGGAUAGUUCAGUAAUAACUCUUCUGUGUUUCAGUUGAUGUCCCAUGGAAUGAAGAGAUGAAAAUAUUGUCCCUUUGUGUAUAAUCUAAUUUGAAAUUGUAGGCUGAUUUUACCACAUUUCUAAGGAAAUAGGCUCAGAAAGACAUAAUAGUUUUAAAAGAAUGAGAUGUGAUUAAAAAACAAACAGUGAAUGUUUAAAUCUUUUAAAGUGUAUUGCUAUAAAGGACAAAUUGCUAUUAACACACUUCCCAUCGUCCUUGCAACUUUCUGACCGUUCUGGAAGACCUCUUUAGUGAGUGUCUUUAGUUUUGUUAUUGGGGCUACCUCGAUGUCAUGAAUUAAUUUAAGAUGUUUACCUUUUGUAGCCAGUUGAUUUAGGGGACAGCCAGAAGUCUCAUGGUGCCGGAUCCAGUGAAGAAGAAACAAGAUUCCAUGUUACAUGAAAUCGUCAUGUCUUUCAUGUCGUGAUGUAUGCCCUUUAAUCUGGAACAAUUCUUUUACCUUUCUUUGACAUGCAUCACUGUGACCCUUGAAGAGCAGAGGAGCAUUAUUUAGAAUGUACUGCAACUUGAAUUUUUCUGACUUUUCUUCAUGAUUUCAUUCAGGCGAUGCUUUAUAUAUAUAUAUAUAUAUGGCCACAGCAGUGUAUCAUGUGUUUCACAGUGCAUGCUGUCCAGGAGCCCAAGGAUGUCAGUCUGUCCUGUGGCUGAUUGGUUUCUUUACUGUGAAUUACUGUUUUCCCUUUGUAAUGAUAAGUAUUACACGGUACAAUUGUCAAUAUUUAAAUAUCCUGUUUUUUAAAAAAUCAUAUUUUGCCUACCAGUUUUAUCACCUAUUUAUGAUUCUUGCUUGCUAUGGUGUUUAUCUAAUGGUGGCUUUCUUUUCUAAUAUUAAUGGAAUUUUACUGAAAGGAAGGGGUGCGGGCCCUUCUCCAUUUGUUUAUUUGUGUGGUAUGGAUUUAUAGAUUUUGUUAUCUUCUAUAAAUUGCCCAGGCUGGGCUCAAACAUGA